UACGUAGGGGGCAAGCGUUGUCCGGAAUCAUUGGGCGUAAAGAGCGUGUAGGCGGCCAGAUAAGUCCGCUGUGAAAUCUCGAGGCUCAACUUCGAGCUGUCGGUGGAAACUGUCUGGCUAGAGUCCGGAAGAGGAGAAUGGAAUUCCGUGGUGUAGCGGUGAAAUGCGCAGAUAUCAGGAAGAACACCCGUGGCGAAGGCGGUUCUCUGGGACGGUACUGACGCUGAGACGCGAAAGCGUGGGGAGCGAACAGG
rnacentral:rRNA from 1 species